UGCAAGUCGAACGAUGAAGCCUUUCGGGGUGGAUUAGUGGCGAACGGGUGAGUAACACGUGGGCAAUCUGCCCUUCACUCUGGGACAAGCCCUGGAAACGGGGUCUAAUACCGGAUAAUACUCUGUCCUGCAUGGGGCGGGGUUGAAAGCUCCGGCGGUGAAGGAUGAGCCCGCGGCCUAUCAGCUUGUUGGUGGGGUAAUGGCCUACCAAGGCGACGACGGGUAGCCGGCCUGAGAGGGCGACCGGCCACACUGGGACUGAGACACGGCCCAGACUCCUACGGGAGGCAGCAGUGGGGAAUAUUGCACAAUGGGCGAAAGCCUGAUGCAGCGACGCCGCGUGAGGGAUGACGGCCUUCGGGUUGUAAACCUCUUUCAGCAGGGAAGAAGCGAGAGUGACGGUACCUGCAGAAGAAGCGCCGGCUAACUACGUGCCAGCAGCCGCGGUAAUACGUAGGGCGCAAGCGUUGUCCGGAAUUAUUGGGCGUAAAGAGCUCGUAGGCGGCUUGUCACGUCGGAUGUGAAAGCCCGGGGCUUAACCCCGGGUCUGCAUUCGAUACGGGCUAGCUAGAGUGUGGUAGGGGAGAUCGGAAUUCCUGGUGUAGCGGUGAAAUGCGCAGAUAUCAGAGGAACACCGGUGGCGAAGGCGGAUCUCUGGUCCAUUACUGACGCUGAGGAGCGAAAGCGUGGGGGAGCGAACAGGAUUAGAUACCCUGGUAGUCCACGCCGUAACCGUUGGGAA
rnacentral:rRNA from 1 species